GUUUGAUCCUGGCUCAGAUUGAACGCUGGCGGAAUGCUUUACACAUGCAAGUCGAGCGGCAGCGCGGGGGCAACCCUGGCGGCGAGCGGCGAACGGGUGAGUAAUAUAUCGGAACGUACCCCGUCGUGGGGGAUAACACAGCGAAAGCUGUGCUAAUACCGCAUACGACCUGAGGGUGAAAGCGGGGGAUCGCAAGACCUCGCGCGAUGGGAGCGGCCGAUAUCGGAUUAGCUUGUUGGUGAGGUAAAGGCUCACCAAGGCGACGAUCCGUAGCUGGUCUGAGAGGACGACCAGCCACACUGGAACUGAGACACGGUCCAGACUCCUACGGGAGGCAGCAGUGGGGAAUUUUGGACAAUGGGGGGCAACCCUGAUCCAGCCAUUCCGCGUGAGUGAAGAAGGCCU
rnacentral:rRNA from 1 species